CUGGGCGUAAGAGCUCGUAGGCGGUUUGUCGCGUCUGCUGUGAAAGACCGGGGCUCAACUCCGGUUCUGCAGUGGGUACGGGCAGACUAGAGUGCAGUAGGGGAGACUGGAAUUCCUGGUGUAGCGGUGAAAUGCGCAGAUAUCAGGAGGAACACCGAUGGCGAAGGCAGGUCUCUGGGCUGUAACUGACGCUGAGGAGCGAAAGCAUGGGGAGCGAACAGGAUUAGAUACCCUGGUAGUCCAUGCCGUAAACGUUGGGCACUAGGUGUGGGGGACAUUCCACGUUUUCCGCGCCGUAGCUAACGCAUUAAGUGCCCCGCCUGGGGAGUACGGCCGCAAGGCUAAAACUCAAAGGAAUUGACGGGGGCCCGCACAAGCGGCGGAGCAUGCGGAUUAAUUCGAUGCAACGCGAAGAACCUUACCAAGGCUUGACAUGAACCGGUAAUACCUGGAAACAGGUGCCCCGCUUGCGGUCGGUUUACAGGUGGUGCAUGGUUGUCGUCAGCUCGUGUCGUGAGAUGUUGGGUUAAGUCCCGCAACGAGCGCAACCCUCGUUCUAUGUUGCCAGCGCGUUAUGGCGGGGACUCAUAGGAGACUGCCGGGGUCAACUCGGAGGAAGGUGGGGACGACGUCAAAUCAUCAUGCCCCUUAUGUCUUGGGCUUCACGCAUGCUACAAUGGCCGGUACAAAGGGUUGCGAUACUGUGAGGUGGAGCUAAUCCCAAAAAGCCGGUCUCAGUUCGGAUUGGGGUCUGCAACUCGACCCCAUGAAGUCGGAGUCGCUAGUAAUCGCAGAUCAGCAACGCUGCGGUGAAUACGUUCCCGGGCCUUGUACACACCGCCCGUCAAGUCACGAAGUUGGUAACACCCGAAGCCGGUGGCCUAACCCUUGUGGGGGGAGCCGUCGAAGUGGACCGGCGAUUGGGACUAAGUCGUACCAAGUAGCCCA
rnacentral:rRNA from 1 species